rnacentral:rRNA from 1 species
AGUGAACGCUGGCGGUAGGCCUAACACAUGCAAGUCGAACGGCAGCACAGUAAGAGCUUGCUCUUACGGGUGGCGAGUGGCGGACGGGUGAGGAAUACAUCGGAAUCUACUUUUUCGUGGGGGAUAACGUAGGGAAACUUACGCUAAUACCGCAUACGACCUACGGGUGAAAGCAGGGGAUCUUCGGACCUUGCGCGAUUGAAUGAGCCGAUGUCGGAUUAGCUAGUUGGCGGGGUAAAGGCGCACCAAGGCGACGAUCCGUAGCUGGUCUGAGAGGAUGAUCAGCCACACUGGAACUGAGACACGGUACAGACUCCUACGGGAGGCAGCAGUGGGGAAUAUUGGACAAUGGGCGCAAGCCUGAUCCAGCCAUACCGCGUGGGUGAAGAAGGCCUUCGGGUUGUAAAGCCCUUUUGUUGGGAAAGAAAAGCAGCAGGUUAAUACCCCGCUGUUCUGACGGUACCCAAAGAAUAAGCACCGGCUAACUUCGUG